GAUGAACGCUAGCUACAGGCUUAACACAUGCAAGUCGCGGGGCAGCAUGGGGGUUGCUUGCAACUCCCGAUGGCGACCGGCGCACGGGUGAGUAACGCGUAUCCAACCUGCCCUUCACCACGGGAUAACCCGGCGAAAGUCGGACUAAUACCGUAUGUUGUCCAUUGACGGCAUCCGAUUUGGACGAAAGGCUUUGCGGUGAAGGAUGGGGAUGCGUCCGAUUAGCCAGACGGCGGGGUAACGGCCCACCGUGGCUACGAUCGGUAGGGGUCCUGAGAGGAAGGUCCCCCACACUGGAACUGAGACACGGUCCAGACUCCUACGGGAGGCAGCAGUGAGGAAUAUUGGUCAAUGGGCGUAAGCCUGAACCAGCCAAGUAGCGUGCAGGAUGACGGCCCUAUGGGUUGUAAACUGCUUUUAUGCGGGGAUAAAGUGGCCCACGUGUGGGCUUUUGCAGGUACCGCAUGAAUAAGGACCGGCUAAUUCCGUG
rnacentral:rRNA from 1 species